ensembl:ncRNA Y71F9B.20 ncRNA
GAAAAAGGCAAUUAAUCUAGCACCGACCUUCACCCGGAAUGCGCCGACAGCGCCAGGCUAAGAACAACGAGAACAAUGAUAAAUUGUCAGCUGUGUUUAUGGGCCAUU